rnacentral:rRNA from 1 species
GAUGAACGCUGGCGGCGUGCCUAAUACAUGCAAGUCGAGCGAACAGACGAGGAGCUUGCUCCUCUGACGUUAGCGGCGGACGGGUGAGUAACACGUGGAUAACCUACCUAUAAGACUGGGAUAACUUCGGGAAACCGGAGCUAAUACCGGAUAAUAUAUUGAACCGCAUGGUUCAAUAGUGAAAGACGGUUUUGCUGUCACUUAUAGAUGGAUCCGCGCCGCAUUAGCUAGUUGGUAAGGUAACGGCUUACCAAGGCGACGAUGCGUAGCCGACCUGAGAGGGUGAUCGGCCACACUGGAACUGAGACACGGUCCCUACUCCUACGGGAGGCAGCAGUAUGGAAUCUUCCGCAAUGGGCGAAAGCCUGACGGAGCCACGCCGCGUGAGUUAUGAAGGUCUUCGGAUCGUAAAACUCUGUUAUUAGGGAAGAACAAAUGUGUAAGUAACUAUGCACGUCUUGACGGUACCUAAUCAGAAAGCCACGGCUAACUACGUG